GACGAACGCUGGCGGCGUGCUUAACACAUGCAAGUCGAACGGAAAGGCCCUGCUUGCAGGGUACUCGAGUGGCGAACGGGUGAGUAACACGUGGGUGACCUGCCCUGCACUUCGGGAUAAGCCUGGGAAACUGGGUCUAAUACCGGAUAGGAGCCAUUUUUAGUGUGAUGGUUGGAAAGUUUUUUCGGUGUAGGAUGAGCUCGCGGCCUAUCAGCUUGUUGGUGGGGUAAUGGCCUACCAAGGCGGCGACGGGUAGCCGGCCUGAGAGGGUGGACGGCCACAUUGGGACUGAGAUACGGCCCAGACUCCUACGGGAGGCAGCAGUGGGGAAUAUUGCACAAUGGGCGCAAGCCUGAUGCAGCGACGCCGCGUGGGGGAUGACGGCCUUCGGGUUGUAAACUCCUUUCGCUAGGGACGAAGCUUUUUGUGACGGUACCUAGAUAAGAAGCACCGGCUAACUACGUG
rnacentral:rRNA from 1 species